rnacentral:misc_RNA from 1 species
GAUGAAGAACGCAGCGAAAUGCGAUACGUAAUGUGAAUUACAGAAUUCAGUGAAUCAUCGAAUCUUUGAACGCAUAUUGCGCUCUCUGGUAUUCCGGAGAGCAUGCUUGUUUGAGUAUCAGUAAUCACCUCAACUCCCUUUUCUUUUUUGAAAUUGGAGCUGGACUUGAGUGAUCCCAACGCUUUCUUCCAAGAAAGUGGCGGGUUGCUUGAAAUGCAGGUGCAGCUGAACUUUUCUCUGAGCUAUAAGCAUAUCUAUUUAGUCUGCCUAAAAAACAGAUUAUUACCUUUGCUGCAGCUAACAUAAAGGAGACUAGUUCUUGUGCUGACUGAUGCAGGAUUCACAGAGACAGCUUCGGCUGACUUUGUAAACUCGAUCUCAAAUCAAGUAAGACUACCCGCUGAACUUAAGCAUAUCAAUAAGCGGAGGA